GGGAGUUCCGGGCUUGUUUAUAAGGAACGAUAUAGAGAAGAUUAGCAUGGCCCCUGUGCAAGAAUAACACGCAAAAAUCGAGAAAUGGCCCAAAUUUUU
rnacentral:snRNA from 1 species